AGAUAUCACUAAGGUAAAUCUUCAAGUUUCUAAUGCAUAUAAUCGUUAUAGAAAAGUCCACAUUAGUAACAAUUUGGUUAAUAAAAUUGUGACGCAUUUAAAGAAAAUAUACCUGUGAAAUGGAGGAAAGUCAUCCCUGCUUUGCAUUUCCCCGGACUUAUUAUCCCUUUACCUUUUUCAAGUACUUCCAUAUGAUGUCAUUUUUUACGCGCGGCUUAGGCCUAACUUUAAUAUACUUUUCCACGGCAGCUCACAAAAGCGCCUUGUGACUCUCUUAGGCCAUUUUAUUUUCGAAGGAAUGUAGAAAACUCCACUUCCAAACAUGAUGCAGAGAAGAAAGAGAUAAAAAUCCGUAAGGCGAAACAGAAUUUUAUAUAUUUGAAGUACAUGAAACUUUUGAACUUAAGCAGCGAUUUCUUCGACAAAUAAAUAUUGUUUGUUUCCAGUU